GUCUAUGGCCAUACCACCCUGAACGCGCCUGAUCUCAUCUGAUCUCGUGAAGCUAAGCAGGGUCGGGUCUGGUUAGUACUGGGAUGGGAGAAAAUAAUUGUGUUGGUGGAGGACAUUGCAGAAAACUUGAGCUAAAUU
rnacentral:rRNA from 1 species